rnacentral:rRNA from 1 species
CCUACGGGGGGCAGCAGUGAGGAAUAUUGGUCAAUGGGCGCAAGCCUGACCCAGCAACGCCGCGUGAAGGAAGAAGGCUUUCGGGUUGUAAACCUCUUUUGUCGGGGAGCAAAGCGAGUCACGUGGGACUCAUUGAGAGUACCCGAAGAAAAAGCAUCGGCUAACUCCGUGCCAGCAGCCGCGGUAAUACGGAGGAUGCGGGCGUUAUCCGGAUUUAUUGGGGUUAAAGGGUGCGCAGGCGGAGGUGCAAGUCAGCGGUCAAAUUGCGGGGCUCAACCCCGUACUGCCGUUGAAAAUGCAUCCCUUGAGUGCGCGAGAAGUAUGCGGAAUGCGUGGUGUAGCGGUGAAAUGCAUAGAUAUCACGCAGAACUCCGAUUGCGAAGGCAGCAUACCGGCGCGCAACUGACGCUCAUGCACGAAAGCGUGGGUAUCGAACAGGAUUAGAUACCCCGGGUAGUC